CACCACCAUUGAUGGGUCAUCAACAGGGGCCGUUGCCGCCACAAAUGACUCCUAACAACAAUUAUCUCCGACCACGAAUGAUGAUGACUUCUUCUUCACCGCCUUUGCUUGAUAACCCAAGUCUAUCUUCUUGGCUUGAAAGCAAUGAUCUCCCUCCUGAGUCUUGGAGCCUUAGUCAACUUCUAUUGUAACUCUUCAUCUCUCUCUCUCUCCCUCCCUCCAUAUAUGUAUACAUAUGAUGAAACGAAAAUAGUCUCUAAGCACAUGAUUUUGAGUUCUCCUGGUUAACUUCAUGGCUUCGUUUUAUCAUGUGUUGUAACCGAAUCUUGAUUUCUUCUUUAACAGUGAUAUAUAUAUAUAUAUAUAUAUAUAUAUAUACACGUUAUAUAUAUAUACACGUUAAGAUUAUAGUUAAAAAAAUUUCAGAAAACUCAAACUUUGCCUUUUUUGUAGUUCUAGUAUUUUCAGUAUCAAAUACUCAAAUCUAAUAACGAAUAUUUUAUUUGUGAAUUUGAGGGGUGGAUUGAUGAUGGGAGAGGAAGAGAGGUUGGAGAUAAUGAACCAUCAUAGUCAUCAUGAUGAACAACACCACCAUAGUUUUCAAGGGAAGAUGAGAUUAGAAAAUUGGGAAGAACAAGUCUUACGCCACCAACAAGCUUCCAUGGGAGUUGUUGACAUUAAUCUUUGCUUGAUAACCCAAGUCUAUCUUCUUGGCUUGAAAGCAAUGAUCUCCCUCCUGAGUCUUGGAGCCUUAGUCAACUUCUCUUGUAACUCUUCAUCUCUCUCUCUCCC
rnacentral:lncRNA from 1 species